rnacentral:lncRNA from 1 species
UAUUUCUGAUGUUAAAGAUAAGUUCCCAAUUGAAAGGAAACAAUAGCAAAAGUAACCAGACACUGUAAAGUGGAACUGGAUCAAAAAGAACAAUGACUGCAAUGUAUUUUUUUCUGUGAUGAUGUAUCUGAAGAUCUCCAUGAUACAUCGACAUUUUUAAAUCGACAAAAAUAGGGCAUGACUGUGCACUUGUACUACAAGACAUAUUCCCUUAGCCAAAGUAAGAGCUGGAGAUGUCAUAUCACUAGUAUCAUGUUUGAUGAUUGAUGAAACUUGACAACAUAGCAAAUAGGCAGAAUAAAAGACACAGAAAGAAAGCCAGGAAUCUUUUAUCCUUGGGGUUGUGCUUUCCUAAAUUAUAAAAAUUCAUUGAUGGCACACGGUCUGGAAGAGAUAUUGUACCAAUCUCCAAGCUUGCAGAUCACGCUAAAUUGUACAGUAAACGCCUUGAACAUCUUGGAGUUAUCAUGGAAGGAAGAACUGAUGCAACGCAGUUAACAAAAUUGGAAUGUUGCUGCCAUAGGAUAUAUAUAGGCAUACAAGCAAGAUAAAUUAGUGCUCUUGAUUUUAAACAAAUGUAAUCGUGAAGCUCUGAAACAGAC